GACGACGACACCGACGUCAUCAAGAAAACGGAGGAAACCGCCUCCUCCCAAAAAGCCCUAGAUCGCGCCCUCCCGCCACAUUCUCCUCCUCCUCCUCCUCUCUGCCGGCCCCGGCGGAUCGGCACCGUCUGACGCUGGGGCCGCGCUAGGAAUCCCUCCAUACCUUCCGACCCAAGAACCUCGACGCCAGGGGAGGCUGGCAGUGGCGGCUGCACGGAGUCGAGGCCCGCGGUGCUAGUAGUCGUUGGCGUCCUCGAUGGGGUUCUCCUCCGCUCCGAUCGCGGGGCUGCGCUCCGGAGUGCCUGGUUCCCGUCCGAUCCCGACUUCUUGUCGCGGUGAGAUCCGUUCUCUUCCCUUUUUCUCUUAUUAUGGGUUUCCUCCUUACUCACGUUUUCGAGUUCGCGAUCUUGAAUCUUGAUUUAUUGGGAACAAAAACAACAACAAGAAGCCGUAAUUUCCCAACAAUUUGUGUUCUCUUACAUGGCUCUUUCCCAACAAGAAAGAGGGUAAUUAAGGUGUUCUAACCGGCGAAAUGUUAACUUACGAGUUUAAACCUAAUAGGAACUGCCAACCCUUGCCUGUAAGUAUGAGCAUAGAACAGAUCUUGAUUUCAAGAUGGUCAUUGCAUGAGACAUGCAUGGUAGCAACUGCUGUUUGUUUAUGAUUCUUCUAAUGUCGGAUGCAAGAAAUGAUAAAAUAAUUACUGACUAGUAAUUUCUUCCAACCCUUUGCAUACACAAAUAAGGAAUCAGAACGGAUUCUGAUUCGGAAAUAGUUCUUGCAUGGUCAUCAGAAUGAAACUCUCUUUCAACAAGAAAUGCCAUUAAUGUUCACACUCAGUCGUGUUUUCUUGAACUAAGCGGCUAUCGGUUAAUGAAUACCGUUUGGUAGACGUAUCUAAAUCACUUGCUUGAUGAGAACUCACUGUUUGAUAUAUGAUAAGGGCAUAAUGUGAAAUAUGCUACAAGAGAGCAGUGAUUAAAAAAGGCGCUCGGGAGAGGCGAGGCGAGGCCCGAGCGCAUCGCUUCAUUUCCAGGCGACGCACUUCAAAGAGGCGCCGCCUAGGCGCUCGCCCGAGCCCAGGCGUCGGGCGCUUCGGGCAAGCGCCUGGGUUAAACCAGGUGACCGAACCAGCGGUUUAGGUCUGGUUCGGUCUCCGAUGCUUUAGUUUGUUCAAUCGAACCAACUAAAGCACCAAUAUCAGCGCGACUUCCCCAACCCUAACCCUGCUCACCGUUCACGCUGCAUGUUGCUGCUGUCGUCGCUGCCACUAUUGCCGCUCGCUGCUCUCGCUGCCGCUCGCUGCUCUCGCUGCCGCUCGCUGCUCUCGCUGCCGCUGCUCGCUUUUACCGCUGUCGUUGCCACUGUCGCCGCUCGUCGCUCCCACUCCCGCAGCCGCUGCUCGCUGUUGUUGCCGUUCCCGCUCCCGCUGCUCGCUACUACCGCUGCCACUGUCGUCGCUCGCUGUUGCCGCUGCCGCUCUCGCUUUUCUCAGCACCCUCGGUCUUCCCUUACACUCUUCUCUUCUCUUUCACUUCUCCUCUUUCGAAAUUGAAAGUAUAUUGUUAACAGUAUACAAUAUACUGUUAUACCGUAUACUGUUAACAGUAUACAAUGUACUGUUAACUAUAUACAGUAUAACACUAUUAUUUUGAUUUUAAUACUAUUAAUUUUAAUAUUAUUAAUUUUUAGCGUCUCACUUCGCUCGGGCGUGCGCUUGGGCGAGCGCCUAGCGCCUCGGGUGUUUUUGGACCGUGGCGCCUAGCGCUUUUUAAAUCACUGCAAGAGAGAAACUAGUAUUUAAAAUGAGAUGUCAUACUGACAAAGGAUUAUUCCGAUGGGGAAAGUGAAUACUUCCUAAGUAAGUUGUUUAUAGUUUCAUGCAUAUGUUAUAAAUAGGUUUUUCCCCCUUGCAUAUAGAAAUUAAAUUCUUUAUGAUGAUGUUUAUUUAUUGUUAAGCUUUGCCAUGAUUAACAUAUAUGAUUGCUUUUAUAGAGCAAAACUGCUAUAAAAUAACCUAAAUUGCUUCCAUCAGUAUGAUAUAGGAUGCAAGCACGAGUUUCAACUAAGAAAGAUAUUUGGUAGAUGAUGCAGCACCUUGUAAUUGGCUAUGAAUUUGAUAUCAUCCCUUUAAUUUGAUGUGAAUCUCUUGAUCCAGGGAAACUUAAUUUAUAGAAGGAUUUAUACAAAAAAUAUCUAGAAGGCUAGUGUGUUAAUAAAUGUCCUAUCAAUUAUAUGCUUAGCCCGUGCAACCAAGGAGACAGCGUUCAAAUCAUCUAUGCUUGAAAAGAGUUCAGUUUGGAGGGUACUCUGAUUCAUUUUAGAUAGAUAUCUCUAUCUCAAAGAUACAUAUAAGCCAAAGAGUCAUUGGAACUCAGAACCCUAGAGCACUUUCGUACUUUUCCCAUUUAAAUAAAGUUCAGAGUUGUUUGCUAGGCAAUUUAUGGGUUCUAAUAAUUUUGUAUGACAAAGUAUGGGUUUGCCUAUUUUAAUUCGAUCAAGAAAUUGAUUGUCUAAUUUGUUCUUAUUGUUAGCUUGGGAGCUUAAAUAAAUCUCAACAUCAUCAAAGUAAUAUUUCCCAGUGGUAUCGAGAUUAUAAUGAACAGUAAUAUACUUCACUAUGCAUAGCUCAAGUGACCAAAAAAUUUACCGCAAGGAAAAAUGUGGAAUUUGCUUUACUUCCUCUUGUGUGUUAAUACAUGUUGUUUUGCAUUUGCACAAAUACUGAACAAAUAUAUAAAACCUUGUUAGAGGAGAGUGGGAGUGGAACUCAAUGGAAAUAAUCAAGUGGAACUUCACAUUUCAAUAUUUUAUGUGAAAAACUCAAGGUACUUAAAGUACUUUAGCAUUACAUAUGAGGUAAUCUGAACCAAAUAAAUAAGUCUGAGUGUUUCUUUACUUUCUUAUAGUAGUUGCAUUUUAGUAACACCUAUGUUCAUAUAAUAUGGUUGACAUGUCUCACAUUAAAUUGACAUAGUCGGUAGAGUUUGAUUUGUAGCUUUCUUGUUUCUUCUAGAAAAUUGAUCCGUUCAAGUGUUUGUUUGGUAUCUCCACAAUACCACAUGUAUUAUGCCUUGGAAUUCUUCUAUAUCUUUUUUGCUUGUUCUUUUUUCUCAUCCUUUUUGUUGGUCGCCUUUGCAUUUUUGAAAGUAGAUUAAGUUGUAACUACUGUAAAUUGCCAAUCUCAAGCUUGAACGUUAUGGUAGGCCACUAACAGCCAGUAAAAUUUCAUCAAAAUUCAUUAGUAUGGAUGUAAAUUGUUUUUACUAUAGGAAUGUUAUCUAGAAGUGACACAAGGCAAUUUUACCACAUGGGUGUCUCUAAAUGCGAAAAAAUGGACCAGGAGAUUGGUUAGAAGGUCAUAUUAAUAUCCAGAUAUGAUGCAAAACAGGAAAGGAUUUUCCCAUUGUUUUAUAUUGGUGCAGGUAAAGUAGUUGGUCCAAAACAUAAAAUUCGGCUAACAAUAUGGUAUAUAAGAAAAUUUCAGGAAAGGUUAGGAUUGAUAUUAGAUGAUAAUAAGAAAAUUUAACAUAAUAUGUCUAUAAUAGGCUAAUUGGGUUGAAAAAAAAAAUAAGGGGAUUGAUAUUAUUAAAUAUAAAAUUUGGUCUAUUAAUAGUUAAAUAUAUAAUUGGUGUAGGUAUUAUUGUAGAGAAGGAUCUUAAGGAUAAAUGGAUACCGUUGUGGAGGUAACGAAAGUUGGGGAUAGACUUAUAGCAUUAAAAUUUGCAUUAGAAUAAGAUAUUUUAAACGUAAAUAAGUACUUAUGCACCUAAGAUUGAACUAUAUGAUUACACCAAACGAAAAUUCUGAGAAAAUUUUAAAUAAAAUAUUUUAAGGGAUACUUUUAAUUUGAAAAUUAAUCAUUGAGGUAUAUUUGAAUGAUCAUAUAGGAAUACCAUGGUGAAUAUAAAUAAGUGGAUGACUCCUAUAGAUAGGAGAGGAACAAAGAGGGGGUGGAUUGAUAUUAGAUUAUGCAUAUCUUAUGAUCUCAUAAUAAUUAAUAUUCACUUCAAGGAGAGAGGAGCAUUUCAUUGCUGACAAGGGUGGAUGUAAUCAAUCAGUCAAGUAGACUUUUCUUUUCACGAAAUUGAUAAAAUUACUUGUAACAUGUAUAAAAUUAGAUUUGCUAAAAAAAGAUGGGUGAAUCAAUGUAGAUUGUUGGUUUUAAAUAUAUGUAUUAGAUAAGAAAAGAGAGAAGAAAUAUAGUAGUUUUUCUAGAAUGAGAUGGUGAAAUUUUAAAGCAAACAGUGUAAAGGCUUUUAAAGUAAGAUGUAAAAGAAGUGUUGGAUGGAAAAAUAGGAGGUUUGGCAUCAGGUAGAAUAAUAUUAAUACAAUGUGGACUUGGGUUGGAACUAUGAUGGGGAGAGUAACAAUGGAUUUCCUUGUAGAAUGUAAAGGGGUACAAAUACAAUCUCAAGAGAGAGUUGAUGGUGAUGUGAGAAAUCUCAAAUGACAAUCACUACUAUAGAUCAUGCCUAUAAAGAUUGAAAAAAUAUAUAAAUAUAAGAAAUUUUGUGGAAAGCUCAAAAUUUUAAUUUUAAAAUAUAAGGCUUACGGUAGUUUUUUAUUGAUAAGCUAGGUUGUAAGGAUCAGGUUUGAGGAAUGUGUUUUAUAUAAUUAUGUGACACCAAGGAUCAUUUUUAAUUCCUUAUUCUUUUGGUAAUUGGUUUUGGUUGAGGAUAGUACCUUUUGAUCUUUGUUGAUAAUAUUAUUUUGGUUGAAAUAGUUUAAAUAGAAUUUUUAAAUUUGAUCUCUCGAAAAAGUUCAUCUUAGAAACUAAAGACUUUAUAUUAAGUAGGAAUAAAAUUAAGUAUAUAAAUCUAAUUUUAGUAAUAAUAAGGGAAGAACUGAUGUUGCAGCUAGGAGGAUAGAUGGAUAAAAAGUUUGUAUUAGUAAAUGUUUUAUGUAUCUUAGAUCUAUUGUUCAACCAAAUGAAAAAAAUUGAUAAAGAUAUUAUCCAUAGAGGAAAAGUAGGUAGUUAUGAUGGAGAGGGGCAUCAAUGAUUUUUUGUGAUCAUCGAUGCCCUUGGACUAAAUAUUCAAUUAUCUAAGAUGGUUGUUAGGCUAGUCAUACUUUGUGAGUUUUGAAUGCUGGAUGGUUAAAAAACAUGUACCAAAAAAUUGUAUAUUUGAAAUGAGGAUUGCUGAGGUAUUACUUAAAAAAAAAUAUAGAAAAAGAAAUGUUCUAGUACCAGUGAAUAUGUUCAAAGGCAAUCUAUGAUUAUGAUGGUUUGGUGAGAUGAGUCAUUUAGUACUAGUGAUGAUAUAACAACUAGCAAGACAUAUAAGAACAUUUUAAUAGUAAUAAAAAGUAUUAAUACUCUUGAUUGAAUUAGAGAUAUUAUGUUAUGCAAAUCUCACUGAUAGGCAAAAUCCAUGUCUGACUUCAAAUAAUUAGGCUUGUGGUUGUAGUAAUAUUAUGACAAUUGUGCUCAAUGGUUGGAAGUUGCAAAUACAUUUUCUGUUGGACCUGAGGAGUCAGUUUUGUUCUCCUUGAAGGUUAAUUAGAUUUUUUUUUUACUUGAAGGUUGUUGUAUACGCAUCCAUACACAUGAUAGCAAAUAAUUGUUUAAAAAGGUUAACCUACUACUUCCUCCUCUUUUUCUUCUUCUUCUUCUUCCAAAUUCUAUUAAGGUAGAUUAGGUUUCUGUUUACAGCAGGCCACUACAGUGAAGUGGCUCAACCCCAAGUCUUCACUUUCUCAUGGCUGCUCAUCUCCAUGUGAAUAUCUGAAAGAGGAAGGAGGAAGAACAUUAUAUUAGAAUGCCAGCUUUGCUGCUUCUUAUGGCUACGAUACGAUACAAUGAAUGCUUUGAAGAUAUGAUUCCUGUGGCAAUGGGAAUGUCGGCAUUGGAUUUAGAUUGCAAUCAGCAAAAAGUGCAGUGCUACUUGGGGCACCACUCUGCCUCCUCUUCCAUUUCAUUUCUAUACUGAGGGAUGAUAGCUUACAUGGGUCUUGGGAUGCGCUGAUAUGAUGAUCCUUUUGGACAUCAAGGCAAAGGAAGAGUGUUGAUGAGAUGAAUCUAUAGGUUGCUUCGUACCCAAGGCAAAAUGAGCAGCAGGACACUUGAUGGAACUAUGGCAGAAUCCAAGCAGUCUUCAGCUGCACCAUUUAUUACUGUUAUAAAAUCAUUUAUUAUUCUACUGUUAUAAUAAAAUCAUUUAUUAUUCUACUGUUAUAAAAUCAUUUAUUAUUCUACUGUUAUAAUAAAAUCAUUUAUUAUUCUACUGUUAUAAUAAAAUCAUUUAUUAUUCUACUGUUAUAAUAAAAUCAUUUAUUAUUCUACUGUUAUAAUAAAAUCAUUUAUUAUUCUACUGUUAUAAAUUUCACAAAUAUUGCAUGAUAUAGUGGACAAACAAUAUAAUAACAGUAACAACGUAAAAGAAAUCAAAUUCUAUUUAUGGUGCACAAACAACUCUCUCAGACCUUGUACAACAAGAGUGUCUAUUUAUGGUGGGCUGAGCUGAGCUGCCGAGUUGGUGAGAUCUUAGGCAUGCAACCCAUACUUGCAACUUCUGAAUAUUGUCCGCCUAUGCUUUGUAACGUUUGAACAUCUCCCAAAGAAAUCAAACAAGAAUAAGAAAAGAAAACCAACAAAAAUAAUACCAAAAAGUCAUGCUUUAGUAGUACGAACCUAAAGCCUACUACCAAUAACAAAAAUCUCUUGCGAGCCUACUUGGUUACUAAACUAUAAAAUCACGUCUCUACUGUCAUUACAAGUCUCAGCACCACCUGGUGACUGCGACUAAAAAGUCUAUUAACCAAGUCUCAGCACCGCUCAUAUUCAACAAUGCAUGACCAAGUUACCAAGAAUUAAACGUAGACUCCAGUAGCAAGGAGCAAGAAUAAAGAUCCGAAACCCUGCAGCAGACGAGGACCCGUGAUCAGUUGAAUCAUUCUCACCAGUUAAUAAUUGAAAGAAGAAAGACCAUCAGUUCUUUUAAAUUUACCAAGAAAGUGGAUGCCACAGCAGCAAUCACAACCUCCUUUGCUAGGCUGCGGUUCCUAGUGGAUGAAGUAGCUUCAUAGCUGAAAUGUGCCAUGUAUAAUUAGCAAGAGAGAAUGAAGUUCCCAACCAAAAUAUACUAGUACUGUAUGUCACAGAUAAUCCAUCCUAGCUUUGAGUGCUUCCCAAAAUUGUUCAACGCAAUCCAAGAUGUCAACACAUCACAGAACAUAAAUAAAAAAAACCAAAAUUCUAUACUUUCUCGUACAAAAAAGAUGACUAAAUACACAUCAAUCAAGCUUCAAUUUAAAACGAAUUAAGCUUCAACCUCAAGAAAUCUGGACCCUUUUCUCCAGAGCAAGAUAGACUCAAACCCAACAAAGCAAGAUAAAGGGGCAUUGCUUAGUUUUAUUUUAGAUUCAUGUUUAUUAUUUUAAAUAUAUGCAUCAAUUUAGUUUCAAAAAGCUAAUUUCUUGUUAGAUAUAGUCAAAUAUGUGACGCUAAAGCACAUUUGUACACCGCUAUCAUGGAAAAUGAAUCUGAAAUAGAAGCACAUAUGUCACAUGGAGCACUGCCAACAAUGGCAAUGCAUCCAAUGAGAGGCCAUGUUAGUGCUAGUGCAGCAAGGCUGAAGAAACAUUUGGCCAUGGAUUUUCUGCCAUGAUGGAUGCACAAAGAACACUUACGAAAGAGGACAAUGUUGAUGAGGACCCGAACUUGCUGUCGUCAUUCAUGCAUCAUCAUAGCACCAUCACAUGCAUAAGAAAAUAAUCAGUUCAAUUCAUCCUAGUUCAACCUUUGCAAUGAUAGCACCACCACACUAAUGCUGCUGAUCCAUCACAUUCAACAAAACCAGAGGGCUAAUAUAAGGCAGUUAGUGUCACACAUCCUGAUUUAGUUCUAAUUCCAUAUCAGAAGUGGACAAAGAUUUGAAUAAGGACUUAAUGAGUGGCCUGAAAAGGAAAGAAUUACUUGUGUACUGGGCUAGAGGGCAUGUUGCGACAUAGAACCAACAUCAGAAUAGACCUCAUAUGCAUUAUGCUAAAGUUUGAUCCAACUUAAAUUGAGCCCUGAUGAGGGCAUCGAGCCCUUAAGUGGGAGUGUUGAGAUUGUAACACUAUGAUUUAGUCUCACAUUAGAAGUACAUAAAGAUUGGGAUUGACUUAUAAUGAUCCACUAUUGUUAAGAUGAGUUUAAGCAUUUUAAGCUAAUAAUUUGGACUCAUUAGGUUAAUGGGCUUAUCAUCCCAUUGAGCCGGGUCGUGGCAGUCAACCCACCCAUCCCAACCCCGAGCAAGGGCAUUGGGGUUUCUUCAACUCUUUCAAUAGGAGGCCAUCCAAUGACAUUCCUCAUGUACCAAGAUUGAUAAUUGUUAUAUGCCAGAUAAGGAGAGAGAUAUAUGUAAGGCAAUCACAGAGGAAUUUGAUUUCAACCAUAAAUCUCCUAAUGCAACACUAAUCCAUGUUGCAACCCUUGGGUAUAGUCUCCACCAUAUGAGAUUGAUAGGAUAUCUUGAUGUUAUAGAAAUUUGUACAUAUAUUAGAUCAUUCAAGUAAAUGUAUAAUGUUACCCACAUGCAUGAGGGUCUCGUACCCUACUAUUGCAAGAAUAAUUCAAUAAUAGCAUGUAAUCUAUCAAUAUAGAUGUCAUAUCAUUCGUGCCUUCUUUAAAAUUAAAAUAUGAAAUCAUGAACCUGGGUAACAUGAAAUUUGUUUCUAUGAUAGUAGUUGCCCCAUUAAUCAUGAUAAAAUCCAUGUAUUUGCAAAUUCUUUGGGUAUUAAUUUGUGUAUUUUGGGCAAUAAAGUAGCAUGUGAUUUCAUGUAUUUGUAAAAUUUUUCAUGUGUUUUUGAUACAAAGUUCAUAAUAGGUUUUAAAAAAUUAAUUUUCAUUCAUUAUUGAAGAAAAAUAAAAAAAAAUUUAAUAUAGGUUUUUAGGAGUUAACAUUUGGCACCGACUGAUAUCAAACUGUAUUGGCACAAAAUAUGGUCCAAUAUGAGUAUCACCCUGUACUAUCAAUAUUGGUUUGGAAGUUUAAACCUCGAUUCCAUGUCUCUUAAGCAAUAAUUUUUAAAUCAAAACACAGCUAUUCACCAAGAUUGUUAUUCAUUCAUAGCAUAAACUCCAGUUGCCACAGCACAAAAAUACUACUCUCUCCAUUUCCCUCAAGAUCAACAACAAAGCCCCUCGUAGUCAAGGUUAUUUUUACUAGGCUGGUUUUACAAUUGAUUAUCAAGCCAAACAAACUGUUCUUAACAUUUAACACUGGCUAUUUGUGAACUACAGUUACUCCCAUGUAAUACCUCACACCCUGAAUGUUUAUUUCAAUCAAACAAAUCCAACUCAUGAUAUACAUAAUUUCUGAAUUUGCAUGAGAAAUAAAUUUCUGGGAAGACAAACAAUUCAAAGAUGGUCAAACUUUAUGCUAUUACAAAAAAAGCCAUUUCACUUCAAUGUGUCAUAACCUCAUAUUUGAACAGAACACUGGUCACUAUUCACAAACUCUUAGAAGAACCAGGGUCCACUAUUCACAAACUCUACUUUAAUUAAUAAGUAGAAAUCUCCUUCAUACACCAAUCUGUCAAUUGCAUGCUUCAAUUUCAUAUAAGUAUGGGUCUGAUUAUAUUCUAAAACCAUACGGCUAGUAAGAUCUACAAUUACUUAAGUCUGAUUAUAUUCUACAAUUUCAUAUGAAGUGUUGAAUUGUAACACCUGGUUAGAAAAUUACUUAAGUCAACAAUUGUUCCUAAUCAUAGAUAAAGGUAUAGCAAGGUUGAUUUUUGAAGACGUGCUAACAAGAUUUCUUGUUAAUAGCAAUGAUAAGAAAGGCAAACCCAAUAAGAAUUGAAAAUCGAAACCUAAACAUGAAAGUAUUAUAGGGAAUUUCUGUUCCAUCCUCUGAACUGCAGUCCCGAAAUCAAAUAUUAAGAUAUCAACUAUGUUGCAUUUGAAGAUAUCUUAUGCGACAGUAGUCUCAUAUAGCUAAAUGUAUUUAUUCAAUUAGCAAUCAACUAUCAAUGUGGGACUACUGGAACAUUGUGUUCUUCUCUACUGAAAUGGUUUGAUGUCCUUGUCAACGUGCAAGGAAACAAGCCCAAGGUUGACCAGCGGUUCUAGUGUGGAUCUAACCCAAAAACAUCAUCCUGGUAGCACCUCAUCAAGGAACUUGUUAGUCCACAGGCACACAGAGUUGCUGAAGUACGAUCUGUCACGACCUGAUUCAAAGAGUCUGAAGUACUGACCCUAUAAUUAAGUACAGUCAAUGACACAAUAAGUCAUAUGUAGUCGUCCUUUAAUCAGAUGGAUCACGUAGAAACUCAGUUGUCCCUACAUACAAAUCCAACCCGCCAUUAAAUUCCUCAGUAAAACUAAUGGGAAAUUACAAAUUAUGCUACUACCUCCUUUAUAUCUUUGUAAGUUCGUGGAUUGAAAAUUAGGGAGCAAACUUCAUUAUAACCCACUAUAGUUCCUAAGAAUUAGGAAGCAAAAGCAAUCACUGCCUUGAACACAACAAUGCUGCUCUAAGACAGGGAUUUUUAUCUCAACAAUAGAAUAUUCAGAUUCAUCUUAAAACAAAAACCUCAAAACAGGUCUAUCCAAAACGUCAUCGAAUUCCACCUACUCUUAGCAUCACAUGUCAUUCCUGUUUUCCCUUAUGAAGAUCUGGAUGCUACAAGUUUAACAUCAAAUCUCAGCUGAUCAUAUUCUCGAUUACCAGCAAUUUUACUUGACGAUUAUGACCGUAAUAUCUUCAACACAAUUGCCUUUCUCUGAAUAACUUGGUUAGUCAUUCUCCCAAGAAAUAAAUUAAUCCAACUAAAAUAUAAUAUACCAAGAGCAACCUGAACAACGCCUAUACAUUCUUUUCAAAAUCACCAAGAAAAAACACAAUGAAGACUAAAAGGGGCGGUUUAUAUGAUGUUGCGGAGCUUCCGAUUAAGAUUAGCAAGUGAACAAACAAAUUAUGAACAGCAAAGGGAAUGGAUGUGAAAUCGCACUCUUGCAGCCCCAUAGCAGUGAAAUAAUAUUUCACUACAGUGCUGCCAAAUGACAGAAAUGCAACUAGAACCACUGGGUUAUAUACAUAAUAAGUAACAUAAAAUAAAAUUUGGGUCCAUAUGAAUCUACUGGUUCUACAAGAAAAGAAUCAAUCUAUACAUUUCAUAUGUGACUGAGGUGAUAUCUAUCUGAAUCACAAUGAUGACUAAGUACUGCAAUCCGAGGAAAAUCCACUUCAAUCUUUUUUCACUUUGUCAUAUUGUUGAAUCAAGGCAAAGGUCAUAUGUUAGGUUUCACAAGUUCUCCAAUAAACCAAGUAACGCUCUACAUAUUAUAUAUCGUCAAAAAAUUAUCUAAUAAAGAUCCCAAAAGAAAUCUUGCAGCCAAACAAUACAAAGAGACUCGCAGUCAACAACAAGCGCACAACGCAUUCCAUGAAAGCUGACAGCACAAACAAGAUCCAAUAAUAAACAUCUAACCGUAAAUCCUUUGCUAGAUUACGAUAUUUACCCUAUGGUAUGCGAAGCCAUCAACGGCGGAAGAUUGUAGCCCGUAUACAUAAAAUCGAUUCUCUCAACUAAUUUUGGUAAAUUUCGUGCAGGACUCUCAUAUUACUCUCAAAUCUUUGUUUAAUGACUCCAAAUGCACAAGCGUGAUACAGAAAGACAUUACAGUUUAACAUCGAGACAAGAAGAAAUC
rnacentral:lncRNA from 1 species